rnacentral:tRNA from 1 species
GGUCUAUUAGUCUAGUCGGUUAGGACGUCGCAUUCUGAUUACGGUUGGAACCUUCCGUAGGCCCAGGUUCGAAUCCUGGAUGGACCU